UGCGGUAUUUUAACUGUACUAAGGCCUUUAAUAAUUUGCCUUAUAAUUUGAGGCUAGAAUGAAUGGUUUGACGAAGGUUAAUCUGUCUCUAUUUUAUUUUUUAGAAAUUAAUUUUUAGAGUGAAAAAGCUUGUAUUUUUUAAAGGGACGAGAAGACCCUAUUGAGCUUGUAAUUUUAUUACUAUUGUUAAUAUUAUUUGAGUGGUAUAUAAAUUUUAAUUGGGGUGAUUAAGGAAUAAAAUGAUUUUUAGUAACUUCCUUAUAUUUAAUAUUGUUAGAUAAAGUAACCAAUAUAUUAUUGCUUAUAUUAUAGUUACCAUAGGGAUAACAGCGUAAUUUGUUUAGAGAGUUCUUAUUGAAAAACAAGAUUGCGACCUCGAUGUUGGAUUAAAGUAACCUUAAGGUGCAGAAGCUU
rnacentral:rRNA from 1 species